rnacentral:rRNA from 1 species
GAGGGAUAGCAACGGGAAACUGUUAUUAAAACCUCAUAAUACCGACAUGUCAAAUGACAAGACGGUCAAAGAUUUAUCGGCAAAGGAUGGGCCUGCGUCUGAUUAGUUAGUUGGUAGGGUAACGGCCUACCAAGGCAGCGAUCAGUAGCCGACCUGAGAGGGUGAUCGGCCACAUUGGAACUGAGACACGGUCCAAACUCCUACGGGAGGCAGCAGUGGGGAAUAUUGCACAAUGGGCGAAAGCCUGAUGCAGCAACGCCGCGUGAAGGAUGAAGGCCUUUGGGUCGUAAACUUCUGUCCUUGGGGAAGAAAAAAAUGACGGUACCCCUGGAGGAAGUCCCGGCUAACUACGUGCCAGCAGCCGCGGUAAUACGUAGGGGGCGAGCGUUAUCC